rnacentral:rRNA from 1 species
UAGGGAAUCUUCGGCAAUGGACGGAANNNUGGACCGAGCAACGCCGCGUGAGUGAAGAAGGUUUUCGGAUCGUAAAGCUCCGUUGUAAGAGAAGAACGAGUGUGAGAGUGGAAAGUUCACACUGUGACGGUAUCUUACCAGAAAGGGACGGCUAACUACGUGCCAGCAGCCGCGGUAAUACGUAGGUCCCGAGCGUUGUCCGGAUUUAUUGGGCGUAAAGCGAGCGCAGGCGGUUAGAUAAGUCUGAAGUUAAAGGCUGUGGCUUAACCAUAGUAGGCUUUGGAAACUGUUUAACUUGAGUGCAAGAGGGGAGAGUGGAAUUCCAUGUGUAGCGGUGAAAUGCGUAGAUAUAUGGAGGAACACCGGUGGGCGAAAGCGGCUCUCUGGCUUGUAACUGACGCUGAGGCUCGAAAGCGUGGGGAGCAAACAGGAUUAGAUACCCUGGUAGUCCACGCUGUNNCGAUGAGUGCUAGGUGUUAGACCCUUUCCGGGGUUUAGUGCCGUAGCUAACGCAUUAAGCACUCCGCCUGGGGAGUACGACCGCAANUUG